CCGCGGUAAUACGGAGGGUGCAAGCGUUAAUCGGAAUUACUGGGCGUAAAGCGCACGCAGGCGGUUUGUUAAGUCAGAUGUGAAAUCCCCGCGCUUAACGUGGGAACUGCAUUUGAAACUGGCAAGCUAGAGUCUUGUAGAGGGGGGUAGAAUUCCAGGUGUAGCGGUGAAAUGCGUAGAGAUCUGGAGGAAUACCGGUGGCGAAGGCGGCCCCCUGGACAAAGACUGACGCUCAGGUGCGAAAGCGUGGGGAGCAAACAGGAUUAGAUACCCUGGUAGUCCACGCUGUAAACGAUGUCGACUUGGAGGUUGUGCCCUUGAGGCGUGGCUUCCGGAGCUAACGCGUUAAGUCGACCGCCUGGGGAGUACGGCCGCAAGGUUAAAACUCAAAUGAAUUGACGGGGGCCCGCACAAGCGGUGGAGCAUGUGGUUUAAUUCGAUGCAACGCGAAGAACCUUACCUACUCUUGACAUCCAGAGAAUUCGCUAGAGAUAGCUUAGUGCCUUCGGGAACUCUGAGACAGGUGCUGCAUGGCUGUCGUCAGCUCGUGUUGUGAAAUGUUGGGUUAAGUCCCGCAACGAGCGCAACCCUUAUCCUUUGUUGCCAGCACGUAAUGGUGGGAACUCAAAGGAGACUGCCGGUGAUAAACCGGAGGAAGGUGGGGAUGACGUCAAGUCAUCAUGGUCCUUACGAGUAGGGCUACACACGUGCUACAAUGGCGUAUACAAAGAGAAGCGAACUCGCGAGAGCAAGCGGACCUCAUAAAGUACGUCGUAGUCCGGAUCGGAGUCUGCAACUCGACUCCGUGAAGUCGGAAUCGCUAGUAAUCGUAGAUCAGAAUGCUACGGUGAAUACGUUCCCGGGCCUUGUACACACCGCCCGUCACACCAUGGGAGUGGGUUGCAAAAGAAGUAGGUAGCUUAACCUUCGGGAGGGCGCUUACCACUUUGUGAU
rnacentral:rRNA from 1 species